rnacentral:rRNA from 1 species
GCUAAUAACUUGGUAAACCAGGUAUUUUUGGACUGAAUACAUAGGUCUAAAAAAGCAAACCCGGGGAACUGAAACAUCUAAGUACCCGGAGGAAAGGAAAUCAAUAUGAUACUCCCCUAGUAGCGGCGAGCGAACGGGGACCAGCCGAGCUGUGAUUGUGAUUAGAAUGGUCUGGAAUGGCCAACCAUAGUGGGUGACAGUCCCGUAUAAGAAGCAUGAUCGGACGUAUUAAGUAGGGCGGAACACGUGAAAUUCUGUCUGAAGAUCGGAGGACCACCUUCGAAGGCUAAGUACUCCUUACUGACCGAUAGCGAACCAGUACCGUGAGGGAAAGGUGAAAAGCACCCCGACGAGGGGAGUGAAACAGUACCUGAAACCGAACGCCUACAAUCAGUUGGAGGGCCCUUGAGGCCUGACAGCGUACCUUUUGUAUAAUGGGUCAUCGACUUAGUGUAUCUAGCAAGCUUAAGCCGUUAGGUGUAGGCGCAGCGAAAGCGAGUCUUAAUAGGGCGAUUGAGUUAGAUGCAUUAGACCCGAAACCGAGUGAUCUAGGCAUGUCCAGGAUGAAGGUAAGGUAACACUUACUGGAGGUCCGAACCCACACCUGUUGAAAAAGGUCGGGAUGAGGUGUGCCUAGGGGUGAAAGGCCAAUCAAACUCGGAGAUAGCUGGUUCUCUGCGAAAUCUAUUUAGGUAGAGCGUCGGACGAAUACCCUCGGGGGUAGAGCACUGAAUGGGUAAUGGGGGCCCACAGCCUUACUGAUCCUAAUCAAACUCCGAAUACC